ensembl:lncRNA
UUUUCUUAGUUUGUCAGCACUCUGUAUGAGAACCUGGAAGAUGGGUGAAUUUCUGAGUCUCCAUGGCCUGAUGAGUGGGUUGAGAGAAAAAAGAUGAGAAGUGAAAAAUAAGUGUGUUAUUGUCAUCAUCAUCUGCCUUUAUGCACAGAAUUAAGAGCAGAAUGCACAGGCUCCUAUGAGAGUUCCCCCUGGCUACAGUUCAUUUACAGCUGAUUUUAGAGACAGUACAAGAAGAACACUUUGAAUCAGAGCGUGUCUGCUACCUGUCUGGCUGAAACAAGAAAGUGCAUAAAUCCAGCACCUCUUGAGCCUGUAAAUGUGAUCUACUGCAGCUGACCUGGAAUAUUAUCUGCUAUUGAGAUGUGUGUUUGUACAGUCCAGAAUUUCUUCAGGAAUAACUUCUGUUACCAUCACCAAACAUUUCUGAGAGGGUGGGGUUGGAGGAAAUUUCUGUUCUUUGUUUCUGUACACACAUUCUCUUUAGCACUUUUUUCCCCAUCAGAGGGAAGCGAUAAAGUCCUGUUCCCAACACAGGUCUGCUGGGAGAACAGGGCAUGCGAUGUCAGAGGAGAGGAGAGGCCGGAGGACACGGGCUACACUUACCUUGUCUGGUACAGCACUCCUCAGGGAUUUUGAUAAAUUGCAGCAGCCUGUGGACAAGGCCAAGGCUGGGUCAAAGAACCAGUGAGAUAUAAAUGGCUUUGCUCUCUGUUGCUCUCCUGCAGAUAGCAUUUAGCCUUGAGGCUUCCCAUUCACAGAAUGGGAACUUAGAGUACUUUGGUGAUACAGUUGGUCACAUUUUUGCCUAAUCUGUAGCAGUUGUAUGUUCUGUAGCGGGUUUCCAGCUGAGAGAGGAAAGGGUGGUUGUCCUUCCUAUUCUGCCUCUUAGUGUAGAGCAUUGCAGUAUCAUGGCGUUCUUCUGAGAGUUAACUUGAGCAUUUGCAGCAUGUUUUAAAAGUGCCUCACUUCAUAGAGCAUGUCUCCUAAAGACUGUAUUUCUUGGUCCAGUGUGAUUCCAGGAAGGGUUCAUUGGUAAACCUUAAGAAGAUUUAAAAUGAAGCUUCUCCAAAGGAGCCCAUUGUUUCUGAUUAACAUGAUUUGAUGUAAGUGUUUCUCUAGCUCACUGGCAGGUCACUUGCGUAGAACAUUAAAGACUGGGGUUGCAGGCCCAACAAUAAUUGAAUUUAUUUACUAGCUUGUGUUUCUGUUUAUGAGGGUGAGCGAUGGUUUCCAUUACAAUGUGUUUGUGUAGCAAUAUAGCACACCUGCUUUUCAGAAGACAGUAUCAUAAAGUACUCACUUGGAUUGUCUUGUCUCACAUUGCAGAGGUCACUGUAUCUUGUGCUGUAUAAAUACAAACAAAAGCGCAAGAGCAGGUAAUAACUCUAGUUUAAAGAAAACAAUUAAAACUAGUAGUCAUAAAGACAUACUGUUGAAUAAGAUAACACUUGAAUUUUUGUGGAAAUUCUGAACAAUUUAAAAUGGUUGAUAUAUCUGAAACUAUAUAUGUAUAUUGAUAUAAUAAAUACAUUUCACUACUUAAAAAUAUUGAAAGC